CAGAGGGGCAAGCGUUGUUCGGAAUUACGUGGGCGUAAAGGGCGCGUAGGCGGCCUUCUAAGUCGAACGUGAACUCCCCGGGCUCGAACCCGGGAACUGCGUCCGAUACUGGAAGGCUUGAAUCCGGGAGAGGGAUGCGGAAUUCCAGGUGUAGCGGUGAAAUGCGUAGAUAUCUGGAGGAACACCGGUGGCGAAGGCGGCAUCCUGGACCGGUAUUGACGCUGAGGCGCGAAAGCCAGGGGAGCAAACGGGAUUAGAUACCCCGGUAGUCCUGGCCCUAAACGAUGAAUGCUUGGUGUGGCGGGUAUCGAUCCCUGCCGUGCCGAAGCUAACGCAUUAAGCAUUCCGCCUGGGGAGUACGGUCGCAAGGCUG
rnacentral:rRNA from 1 species